GUUUUUAAGGUGUGUAACAUAUUACAUUUUCGCUGUAAAGUUGAAGAAGUUUCUUCUAAAAAUG